rnacentral:lncRNA from 1 species
CCAGCCUCCUCUUAAACCUGACAAAGAAUCCAAGGACUUGUGCUGGGGCUGUCAGCUGCUAUUCUGGUGCCCUGGGGACAAAGAAGGGAUCUGGAGGGAAGACUGUCACCCUCUUGCGAAUGUUUCCAAGAGGCAGCUCAGCAUGGGAGAGAAAAGGGGAGCUCCCAGUUCCAGGAACACCUGGCCAGUGUUUCACCUGUUUAUCGGAGUUGACAGGACCAGCCAGCCCUUUCCCACCUCUCCCCGUCAUGAUGGAUGGGAGCCUGGCCUUUGAGAAAGCACAGAACGUGGCACGUUGGAGGAAAUCAGCAAGUGUUUGCUAAAGGUACAACAGCGAAACAGAACAGAUAUCAUGUACAGUGCUAUGCCGUGUCAAAAGAGUAUGAGAGGUAUUGUGGUGAUGCUUUUGAAUGCUAAUC